AGAGUUUGAUCAUGGCUCAGGAUGAACGCUGGCGGCGUGCCUAAUACAUGCAAGUCGAACGCGAAAGGUCUGAAGCCUUCGGGCGGAGGGCCGAGUAGAGUGGCGAACGGGUGAGGAACACGUAGGUGACCUGCCCCGGAGAGGGGGAUAACCGUCGGAAACGGCGGCUAAUACCCCAUAAGCUCACGCGAGUUAGAGGGCGUGUGAGAAAAGCUCCGGCGCUCCGGGAGGGGCCUGCGGCCCAUCAGCUAGUUGGUAGGGUAAAGGCCUACCAAGGCGAAGACGGGUAGGGGGCCUGAGAGGGUGGUCCCCCACAUGGGAACUGAGACACGGUCCCAACUCCUACGGGAGGCAGCAGUAAGGAAUAUUGCACAAUGGGCGCAAGCCUGAUGCAGCAACGCCGCGUGCCCGAGGACGGCCUUCGGGUUGUAAAGGGCUUUUCUGGCUGACGAGGAAGGACGGUAGGCCAGGAAUAAGCGUCGGCUAACUACGUGCCAGCAGCCGCGGUAAAACGUAGGACGCGAGCGUUAUCCGGAUUUACUGGGCGUAAAGCGCGGGCAGGCGGUGGUCCAAGUCGGACGUGAAAGCUCCCGGCUCAACUGGGAGAGGUCGUUCGAAACUGGGCCGCUAGAGGGCAGUAGAGGGGCGUGGAAUUCCGGGUGGAGUGGUGAAAUGCGUAGAGAUCCGGAGGAACACCAGAGGCGAAGGCGGCGCCCUGGGCUGCACCUGACGCUGAGCCGCGAAAGCUAGGGGAGCGAACGGGAUUAGAAACCCCGGUAGUCCUAGCCGUAAACGAUGUCCACUAGAUGUCUGGGCGGAGCGCCUGGGCGUCGCAGCUAACGCGUUAAGUGGACCGCCUGGGGAGUACGGCCGCAAGGCUAAAACUUAAAUGAAUUGACGG
rnacentral:rRNA from 1 species